rnacentral:rRNA from 1 species
UACAGAGGUCUCAAGCGUUGUUCGGAUUCAUUGGGCGUAAAGGGUGCGUAGGCUGCGAGGUAAGUCUGGUGUGAAAUCCCGGGGCUCAACCCCGGAACUGCACUGGAUACUGCUUUGCUAGAGUACUGGAGAGGGAACUGGAAUUUACGGUGUAGCAGUGAAAUGCGUAGAUAUCGUAAGGAAGACCAGCGGCGAAGGCGAGUUCCUGGACAGUUACUGACGCUGAGGCACGAAGGCCAGGGGAGCAAACGGGA